rnacentral:rRNA from 1 species
GUAAUUUUUUUUAAAGGUAACUUUAAAAAAAUUACUUUAGUGGCGGACGGGUGAAGAACACGUAAGAACCUACCUUUAGGUGGGGGACAACAACUGGAAACGGCUGCUAAUACCCCAUAUGCUGAGGAGUAAAAGAGUUUAUUCUCGCCUAAAGAUGGGCUUGCGUCUGAUUAGCUUGUUGGUGAGGUAAAAGCUCACCAAGGCAACGAUCAGUAGCUGGUCUGAGAGGAUGAUCAGCCACACUGGGACUGAGACACGGCCCAGACUCCUACGGGAGGCAGCAGUGAGGAAUUUUCCGCAAUGGGCGAAAGCCUGACGGAGCAAUACCGCGUGGAGGAUGACAGCCCGUGGGUCGUAAACUCCUUUUCUCAGAAAAGAAAAAAUGACGGUAUCUGAGGAAUAAGCAUCGGCUAACUCCGUGCCAGCAGCCGCGGUAAUACGGAGGAUGCAAGCGUUAUCCGGAAUGAUUGGGCGUAAAGCGUUUUAAGGUGGUUUGGUAAGUCUACUGUUACAUAUCAGGGCUUAACCCUGAACAGGCAGUGGAAACUAGCAAGCUUGAGUACGGNACGGGCAAAGGGAAUUCCCGGCGUAGCGGUGAAAUGCGUAGAUAUCGGGAAGAACACCAAAGGCGAAAGCACUUUGCUGGGCCGAAACUGACACUGAUAGACGAAAGCUAGGGGAGCAAAUGGGAUUAGAUACCCCAGUAGUCCUAGCCGUAAACGAUGGAUACUAAGUGCUGNGCGAUUCAAAACGUNCAGUGCUGUAGCUAACGCGUGAAGUAUCCCGCCUGGGGAGUAUGCUCGCAAGAGUGAAACUCAAAGGAAUUGACGG